rnacentral:rRNA from 1 species
UACGUAGGGGGCAAGCGUUGUCCGGAUUCAUUGGGCGUAAAGGGCUCGUAGGCGGCCAACUAAGUCAGACGUGAAAUCCCUCGGCUUAACCGGGGAACUGCCUCUGAUACUGGAUGGCUUGAGAUUGGGAGAGGGAUGCGGAAUUCCAGGUGUAGCGGUGAAAUGCGUAGAUAUCUGGAGGAACACCGGUGGCGAAGGCGGCAUCCUGGACCAACACUGACGCUGAGGAGCGAAAGCCAGGGGAGCAAACGGG